rnacentral:lncRNA from 1 species
AAUCCUAGGCCUUUGUGUUAUGCUAGGCUGUCGACUUGAUGUUUUGUGUUGAGAACAUUUGGGCAACACACUCAGUGACUCAUUGUUCUCUGUAGCUGGGUGAGACAUCGUGGGCUGAGGGAUGCUCCGAGCAGUGUGACUGCUCUGCCCCUGCCACAAUGUGCUGCGAGCCUGCCUCUUGCCCUAAGGGAGCAAACUGCACCCUUAACGAUACCCGGGGCUGUGCAGGCAAAGAUGAAGAGCAUAAACUUGUCAAGAAUUGAGAGCUCUGUGGUGUGCAAAGCCAACCUCUGCAAACCCAGUGUUGUGUGCUGGGAGGUUCAUACUUCUACACACCUUUGAUGGAGAGAUAUUUGAAUUCCAAGGAAACUGUGCCGACACUCUGGUCCAUAUAUGGAAUAAUAACAGUGUGAAUGAUCCAUCUUGGGUCAGGUUACAAAACAACAGAACCCAGAACCAAGCCUCCUCUCUUAAAGCUAUUCAUGUAAAAGUGACCAACAACCAUAUUGGUACAGAGGGGAGAAGGGCUAAGCUUGGAUAAAUUGUCAAAAAGGCUUUUUCCUGUGACUCUACAGUUUGGGCGGCUGAGGAUUCAUCAGAGUGGUGUGUUUAUUGUUGUGGAU